GAUGAACGCUGGCGGCGUGCCUAAUACAUGCAAGUCGAGCGAACAGAUGAGGAGCUUGCUCCUCUGACGUUAGCGGCGGACGGGUGAGUAACACGUGGAUAACCUACCUAUAAGACUGGGAUAACUUCGGGAAACCGGAGCUAAUACCGGAUAAUAUAUUGAACCGCAUGGUUCAAUAGUGAAAGACGGUUUUGCUGUCACUUAUAGAUGGAUCCGCGCCGCAUUAGCUAGUUGGUAAGGUAACGGCUUACCAAGGCAACGAUGCGUAGCCGACUUGAGAGGGUGAUCGGCCACACUGGAACUGAGACACGGUCCAGACUCCUACGGGAGGCAGCAGUAGGGAAUCUUCCGCAAUGGGCGAAAGCCUGACGGAGCAACGCCGCGUGAGUGAUGAAGGUCUUCGGAUCGUAAAACUCUGUUAUUAGGGAAGAACAAAUGUGUAAGUAACUAUGCACGUCUUGACGGUACCUAAUCAGAAAGCCACGGCUAACUACGUG
rnacentral:rRNA from 1 species